rnacentral:lncRNA from 1 species
AUUUUUAGUAGAGACAGGGUUUCACCAUGUUAGCCAGGAUGGUCUUGAUCUCCUGACCUCGUCAUCCGCCCGACUCAGCCUCUCAAAGUGCUGGGAUUACAGGCGUGAGCCACUGCGCCUGGCCGCUGACUUAGCGCUGUCUUUGCUCUCUCCUUUUGGUGAGGCUUUCAAUUCCAUGUUCUCAUUUGACGGCUCCCACUCCUGGAUGUGUUUUCUGCAGACAAAGAGACAGUUGCUCCUUGUCUUAGUCAGCUCGGGCUGCUGUAACAAAAUACUGUAGAGAGUGAUUUAAGCAACAGAUGUUUGGCUGGGCGAGGUGGCUCACACCUGUAAUCCCAGCACUUUGGGAGGCUGGGGCAGGUGGAUCACCUGAGAUCAGGAGUUCGAGACCAGCCCAGCCAACAUGGCAAAACCCGCAUCUCUACUAAAAAUACAAAAAUUAGCCGGGCAUAUUGUCACAUGUCUGUAAUCCCACCUACUUGGGAGGCUGAGGCAGGAGAAUCACUCGAACCCGGGAGGCGGAGGUUGCAGUGAGAUGAGAUGGUGCCAUUGCAUUCCAGCCUGGGCAACAGAGCGAAACUCCAAAAAAAAAAAAAAAAAAAAAAAAAGCAACAGACCCUUAUUUCUCUUAGUUCUAGGAAGUCCAAGAUCAAGGUGCUGGCAGAUUUUGUUCCCAGGGAGGGCUCUCUUACUGGCUGGCAGAUGGCCACCUUCUUGCUGUGUCUUUACAAGGCGAGGAGAGAGAGACUGAACGCUGGCCUCAUUCUCUUCUUACAAAGACACUGAUUCCAUCAUGGCGUCUCCACCCUCAGGACCUCACCUAAACCUAAUCACUUCCCAAAGACCUCCAAGUCCUAAUACCAUCACAUUGGGAUUAAGGGUUCUGUGUGUGAGUUUUGAGAGGACACAAACAUUUGGUCCAUAACACUCGCUUCACAACAGCUUGCCAUUUCCAUUUGAAUCAGCUUCCAUGUAUCUGAGAUCAAACUCAAACUCCCCCAAAUCCAUUCUUCCCUCAGUCUUUCCUGCUCAGAAAAAGUGAAACUGCCCAGACACUCAGGCCAAAAGCUAGGUGAAUCUUUGGUUCUCUAAACAUGCUUGUCCCCGCCAUUCACCUCCCGGACUCCUCAUCCUCUGAGUCUGAUUUAAAUGCCACUUCUUCAGGGAGCACCUACCCCCCAUGACCUGUGAGACAGGGUCUCACUCUGUACCCCAGGCUGGAGUACAGUGGUACAAUCAUGGCUCACUGCAGCCUCAACUUCUGGGCUCAAGUGAUCCUCCCACCUCAGCCUCCUAAGUAGCUGGGGCUGCAGGAAUGCACCACCACGCCCAGCUAGCUUAUUUUUUGCAGAAAUGGAGUCUCAUUAUGUUGCCCAAACUCCUGGGCUCAAGCAAUCCUCCUACCUUGGCCUCCCAAGAUGCUGGCAUUACAGGCGUGAGCCACCACACCCAGCCCCCAGUGACCUUAUCCAAAGUGAGGCCCCGGGUUAUUCUCCCUCUGAGCGUUAGUCUCCCUCCCAGCAUCUAGAUGUGUGUUUCCUUCAAAUCAGUACCAUGUUUGCUGCUUUUACUUAUCUUCUUGCUUGUUGAGUGUCUGUUUCCCAAGCCCUCCAACCCAAACCCUUAAGGCCAAGGCCCAUCCGGGUGACUUCGGCAACAGUUCAGUAGACACAGUGCCAGGGCCCUCUGCCCUUUUAGGGGCCCACAAACGUGUUCUAAUUUAUUUGAAAAUCAGAAGAAAAUAGCCGGGCGUGGUGGCUCACACCUGCAAUCCCAGCACUCUGGGAGGCCAAGGCGGGCAGAUGACGAGGUCGGGAGUUCGAGACCAGCCUGACCAACAUGGUGAAACCCUGUCUCUACUAAAAUACAAAAAUUAGCCCUGCAUGGUGGGGCGCACCUGUAAUCCCAGCUACUCGGGAGGCUGAGGCAGGAGAAUUGCUUGAACCCAGGAGACAGAGGUUGCAGUGAGCCAAGAUUGCACCACUGCACUCCAGCCUGGGCAACAGAGCGAGACUCCCUCUAAAAAAAAAAAAAAAAACAACAAACAGAAGAAAAUAUGCAAACCUGUAGGUUUAUAGCAGCAGAGUCAUAAAUAUAAUUUUCACAAUUUUUAUGGAGGAAGGGGUCCACACAACUUACAGUGCCACCCUGGGACUGUGUUGGCUUUGCCUACUGUUAUACCUCCCAACACAUCCCAGAGUACUUGGAGCAUGGCAGGGGCUCAGUACAUAUCUGAUGAAUAAAGGAAUCUGCACUAUAGUUUUCUUUUUUUCAGAGAAUACAACAGCAAACUCUCUGCAGUCAGCCCAGAUUUGGUGGAGGGUUGGGGAAGAACCACGGUUGUGAGAAAUGAUAUUGAUGCAGGAUUGUCUUCAAGUCAGCCAGGAGAUGACACAGUCCUCUCACUACUCUAGAUCUGCAAGGAGAAGCCCUCUGGCCCAUGCCACCUUCUCAAUACAAUCCUCGAUCUGACUUCAGGAUGAAAAAUUAGAAAGCUGCCUUGGUACAGCCACUUCUCAAGUAUACCCAUGUAGAAACAUUUUACUGGCUAAUAGGAAGUAUCAAUUUUCUCAAUCAAGCAGGCAAUUAAAAAAUGUAAGUAUAUACAUUUUUCCUCAAGGGACUGCAUAAAUUUUUUUUUUUUUUUUUUUUUUUUUUUGCUUUGAAGAAAAGAAUGUGACCUAAAAACUAUUUUUGUUUUUUUUUUUUUUUGAGAUAGAGUCUCACUCUGCUGCCCAGGCUGGAGUGCAGUAGCACGACCUCGGCUCACUGCAACCUCUGCCUCCCGGGUUCAAGCGAUUCUCCUGCCUCAGCCUCAUGAGUAGCUGGGAUUACAGGCGCACACCACCACUUCCGGCGAAUUUUUGUAUUUUCAGUAGAGACGGGGUUUCGCCAUGUUGGUCAGGCUGGUCUCAAACUCCCUGUGAUCCGCCUGCCUCAGCCUCCCAAAGUGCUGGGAUUGCAAGCAUGAGCCACCAUGCCCGGCCCUGAAAACACUUUUAUUUGUCUUAAAUUGGUCUUUAUAUUUUGCCAUUACUUUUAACGACAAAAAAUGCAAUUACAUCUUUUUUUUUUCUUUUUUUUUGAGACAGAUCCUGGAGUGCAGUGGCAUGAUCUUGGCUCAUUGCAACUUCCGCCUCCCGGGUUCAAGCAACUCUCCUGCAUCAGCCUCCCAAGUAGCUGUGGUUAUAGGCUUGCGCCACCACGCCCAGCUAAUUUUUGUAUUUUUAGCAGAGACAGGGUUUUGCCAUGUUGGCCAGGCUGGUCUCGAACUCUUGACCUCAAAUGAUCCGCCCUCCUUGGCCUCCCAAAGUGCUGGGAUUACAGGCGUAAGCCACCGUACCCAACCCUCAAUUACUUUUGCACCAACCUUUUAAGAAAGUGGCUCACUCCUCCUUUAUGAGCAGUGGUUUUCAGCCCCUAAUAGGGCAUUUGGCAAUGUCAGGGGACUUUUUUUUUUGAGACAGGGUCUCACCCUGUUGCCCAGGCUGGAGUGCAUGGUGUGAUCACGGCUCACUGCGGCCUCAACCUCCUGGGCUCAAGCCAUCCUCCCACCUCAGCCUCCCCAGUAGCUGGGAGCACUAGGUGGACACAACCACACCUGGCUAAUUUUUUAUAUGUUUUGUAGAGAUCUGGUUUCACCAUGUUGGCCAGGUCUUGAACUCCUGGUCUUGAACUCCUGGGCUCAAGUGAUCCAACUGCCUCGGCCUCCCAAAGUGCUGGGAUUACAGGCAUGAGCCACCGAGCCCGGUCUGAGGACAUUUUCCACUGUCACAAUUUGAGGGAGUGCUUGGCAUCUACCAGGCGGAGGCCAGGGAUGCUGCAAACACACUACAGUGCGCAGGUCAGUCCCCAGUAACAAUGAAUGAGCCAGCCCCAAAUAUCAAUAGUGUUGGGUUGAGAAACCCUCCUCUGGGAGGAUCUAAAUUGUGCCUCUUGGAUCAUGUGGGUCUGGCCCUCCAUAGAGUGGGUUUUACUGAUCUGUGCCUUGGUAUCAAACCCUCAAUUUAUCCUGAGUAACUCUGUAGAAAGCAGCUGAUAGGGUUUGUGUGACUGUAUCUGUGUCUUACUUAGUCCAUUUGGAGUGCUAUAAACAAUAUUCCACAAUCUGGGUGGCUUAUAAACAACAAAAAUUUGCCAGGCACGGUGGCUCACACCUGUAAUCCCAGCACUUUGGAAGGCCGAGGCAGGCAGAUCACUUGAGGUCAGGAGUUUGAGACCCACCCAGCCAACACAGUGAAACCCUGUCUCUACCAAAAAAUACAAAACAUAGCCAGGUGUGGUGGCGUGAGCCUGUAGUCCCAGCUACUCGCGAGGCUGAGGCAGGAGAAUCACUUGAAUCCGGGAGGUGGAGGUUGCAGUGAGCCGAGAUCACGCCACUGCACUCCAGCCUGGGAGACGGAGCAAGACUGAGUGACCCUGUCUCUAAAACAAAAAAGGACUGUCGUUGACGGUGUUGCUUGGGACACUACCCGUCAUCCCUUCAAAGGUCCCACGAGAAUUCCUCUCAGACUUUAGUGUCAGAAAUAGCUGCGCUGCUUCUAGGUUGAGUGUUUUAUUUUGCUUUUUAAUUGAGUCAGAAUCCUGCUCUGUUGCCCAGGUUGGAGUGCAGUGGCACAAUCUCGGCUCACUGCAACCUCCACCUCCCAGGCUUAGGUGAGUCCCCUGCCUCAGUCUCCCUAGUAGCUGGGAUUACAGGUGUCUGCCACCACGCCCAGCUAAUUUUAAGCGGAGUUUCACCAUGUUGACCAGGCUGGUCUCGAACUCCUGGCCUCAUGUGAUCCACCCGCCUUGGUCUCCCAAAGUGCUAGGAUUACAGGCAUGAGCCACUGCACCCGGCCAGGGUUGGUUUUAAUCUUGUGGACUUUGUGAGUCUCAAAACCGGCAGAUUUCCCUCUUUGUUUUGACUGAUACGAAGCUCAGAAUCCUGUUUGCAGUCCACCUUUGAGGAUUGUGGAGCCCCAGCCAAAGAACAUUUCUGUGUCCUACCCUCUUGGUUCAUUGUACCAUGUGUUCCAGUGUUGUUUUCUCUCUGAUCUAUUUUUAUCCUAUUGUAUUUUAUGAAUUUUUGUAAGCUGCCUCUAAUCCUUUUUGGAAGAAAGCAGGGCAGAAGAAGAAAACAAGAUUCAUCAGAACCCUGUGGCCUUGACAAGUGUGUUUUAACAUGCCAAGUGUCAUUUAGGGUUGGAUUCUGGCCAGGGAAGGCAGCUAUCCUUGGCUCCUCCUAUCUCUCCUGGGAGUCUCUGUGGAGAACAGCAGCUCAGUAGGUUAGAGCAACAGGUUUUAGAGGUAGAGCCAGUAUCCAUCUGCCUGCAAGCACCACUCCCUCCCACCAAAAUAUUCUUCCCAGUCUCCCAUCUGUCUGUUGGCAGGAAGCCACGGGGCCUAGAGGAGAUCGGAAAGGGGAAGAAUAAAGAUAAGGUCUCCCAUUUUCAUUCCUAACUUUUAUUUCUGGCAUCUUAAAUCAGGGCCCUCAGGGCUCAGGGAAAGAUCGUGUACGUGUUAAGUGCUGCGGGUGAAGGGUGGCCAGGAAGGGCACCUGCCCAAGUGUGGAGGGAGUGGGGGCCUUGGGGAGUCUGUCAUAUGAGGGUCGAGGGGAGCCAGGCAGGGGUGGGGAGUGCCACACACACCUGGAAAGUCCCACCCCUCCAUCUCGCCCUGCGUUCAGGGAUCUUCCAGCCACCCCUGCAGCUAUACCACUCCCAGCUCUGCACGCAGUCUGCUGCUCACGCCAUCCCUCAACCUGUCCCUCACCUCCCAGGCUGCAGCACCCAGGCCAGCCCAGAGAAUUCCACCUGCUCUGCUCUGCUCUGCUCUACUCGUGGGACUUUAGCUAAUCUCUUGUCCUCCCAGCCUCAGUCUUCCUAUCUCUAAAAUGAGCAGGGGCCAGGCACAAUGGUUCAUGCCUGUAAUCUCAGCACUUUGGGAGGCCAAGGCAGGCGGAUCACUUGAGGUCAGGAGUUCAAGACCAGCCUGGCUAACACGGUGAAACCCCAUAUCUACUAAAAAUACAAAUAUUAGCCGGGUGUGGUGGCAGGCACCUGUAGUCCCAGCUACUCGGGAGGCUGAGGCAGGAGAAUCGCUUGAACCUGAAAGGGAGAGGUUGCAGUGAGCCGAGAUCAUGCCACUGCACUCCAGCCUGGGUGAUAGAGCAAGACUCCGUCUAAAUAAAAUAAAAUAAAUAAAUAAAGUAAAAUAAAAUGAGCAGGGAGAGGAAACUAGAUCCUAAACUUUGAGGAUCCUGAGAAUCCCUUGCUGCCUUCAUGUGUCCUGACAGCCUCUGUCCCUUUGUUCUACUUUCUUCUGGGAAUGUGGUGCCACCUUGGUGGAGAGAGGAGGAGUGGCUGGGCGUGUGUAACUCUGGGGUCAAAGAUGGACACCACGCAGGAGUAGCCUGGAUGCCAGCAGGAGCACAGGCCCGAGGCUGCAGGCUUGAGAGGCAAGGGGCCCAACCCAGAGCCCUGGUCCUGCCCAGCAGAGCCAGAGGCCAGGCAGAGCAACCCUGAGAAGGGCAGGGCCUUGGCCGCCUGGUGGGCAGAGGUGACCUAUGGGAAGCAGCAGCUGCCGCUGAAGGGGGCUGGAGCAGCCAGUGCCUCCCUGACACUUCCCUUGGGCACACAGAACCGUGGGAGAUGGGCAUGCCCCACUCUGAGAGGCUGAUAGCCCCGUCUCUGUGCUGCUUGGCCAAGCCAGGCCACCGGCCCCACCUUGUCAUUCCAUGUCCAGCUCCUCUGUUUCCUAGACCUGUGGGGUGGGCUGGUUCUUUCACCUCUAGCUGCUUCCCCUGUAAAAUGGGGGUGAUAUGAAUGGCAUGGACCUCACGGAAUUGUUAUGAGAAUGAACUGAGGCCAAUGCAAAGAACAAUGCCUAGCAUAUGGCGGUCAUAGCUGCUAAGACAUAUGGCCCGUAUCACAGCGGUGCAGAGCGGCGUGUGCCCAGUAAACGGGCGCACAGCCCUAUCCACAUGGGGGACGUGGAGGGAGAUGCUCUGGACCCGCUGGGGCAGGUGGCGGGGCUGGUGCCAGGACAUCAUCGGGCCAGAAGGCUUUGGGUCCCAUCCCAUUUUGGAAAAUGGUGACUGAGAUCUGAAUUUAAAUGACCAAAUUAUUACCCAGAAGUAGUUCCUGGUUCCUUUAGACAGAAAGGGCCCACAGAACAUCUUUAAAGCAAGAAGUGCCCUGCGGGGCCCUAGGUUUCUCAGGUGAACCUCAGAGACCAACGGGGAAAGAGUAAGGACCCCCCAAAUCCAACCCCACCCAGGGAAGCUCUGGCUCAGCCUCCAUAGAGGUUCAAAGUAUGACCUCAUAUGAGGCCAGGUGUGGUGGCUUGCGUCAGUAAUCCCAGAGUUUUGGGAGGAGGCCAAGGUGGGAGGAUUGCUUGAAGCUAGGAUUUUGAGACCAGCCUGGGCAACAUAAGACCUCAUCUCAUAAAUAAAUAUAUAAAUGAAUAAUCAAUCAAUUAUAAAAGGCUGGGUGCAGUGGCUCGCACCUGUAAUCCCAGCAUUUUGGGAGGCCGAGGUGGGCGGAUCACCUGGUCAGGAGUUUGAGAUCAGCCUGGCCAACAUGAUGAAACCCCGUCUCUACUAAAAAUACAAACAAAAAUUAGCCGGGUGUGGUGGCGUGCACCUGUAAUCCCAGCUACCCAGGAGGCUGAGGCAGGAGAAUUGCUUGAACCCGGGAGGUGGAGGCUGCAGUGAGCCAAGAUUGCACCACUGCACUCCAGCCUGGGCAACAGAGCGAGACUCCGUUCUCGGAAAAGAAAAAAAAAAAUCAAUUAAAAAAAAUAGCAUGACCUCAUUGCAAACAAAGCUUCUGGUAAAAAGUUGAAAACAACUGAGCUACUGCCUAAUUUUAAAGAUGGAGAAACUGAAGCCAAUUGGAGCGAGAAAAUAACUGGCCCAAGGCUACCCAGCAAAUCUUUUUUAAAAAAUUUAUUUAUUGGCUGGCUGCGGUGGCUCAUGGCUGUAAUCCCAGCCCUUUGGGAGGCCGAGGUGUGUGGAUCAUGAGGUCAGGCGUUCGAGACCAGCCUGGCCAAGAUAGUGAAACCCCGUCUCUACUAAAAUUACAAAAAAUUAGCUGGGCCUGGUGGUGGGCGCCUAUAAUCCCAGCUACUCGGGAGGCUGAGGCAGGAGAAUUGCUUGAACCUGGGAGGCGGAGGUUACAGUGAGCUGAGAUCGUGACACUGCACUCCAGCCCAGGCGACAGUGCGAGAUUCCAUCUCAAAAAAAAAAAAUUAUUUUUUGGUAGACAUGUUGUCUCGCUGUUACCCAAGUUGAUCUCAAACUCUUGGUCUCAAGGGAUCCUCCUGCCUCAGCCUCCCAAAGUGCUAGGAUUACAGGUGUGAGCCACGGCGCCUGGCUCCCAGCAAAUCUUAACAGAGCUCUGUGGCCUGGCUGGUUCUGCGUGUUCAUCUCAUCCUUGUCUCCUGGGUCCACUGAACCCCCAGCCAGAAGGUAUGCUCCUUAAAGCUGUGAAUCAAGCCAGGUACAGUCAUUUCUCUCUCUUGGGAGGUUGCACUGUGUCUGGGAGGCACAGCCCCUUCUCAUCUGCCUGGUCCUCGCCUGAACAGUACCUUCCUCUCCCCAGUCAUCCCUGAGCUAGACUGUAGCCCCUAGGGACCCGUCUCCCAAUGGGCCCCAGCUCUCCUCCCUCUCUCUUCUUCCCUUGGGGCAGCCAGAAGUCCCCGCUCAUAACUCCCACACGAAUGAGCCUGUCUAGGGACAGAGGGAGGGACCUGAGUGACAUUUUAAUUAUGCCUCUAAUUGCUUUCCAGGGAGAUGAGUGGGGAACUCACAUUUCUCUGUGGGUGCUCAGGGGAGAGUGCAGGGUUUCCACCAGGAACUCAGCCACAUUGAGAUCCCCAAGAUUUCCCCAGAUUUCCUGAGAGCAAGCGGGGGCUUCAACAAGCAGUGAGCCAGCCCUACGCAGACCAGGGCUCCCUUCUGAAGCUGUCCAGAAAGAGGGGAACAUGAUUCAAGGGAAGGAGGUGGUAGGGCAGGGGCAGGGCAGUGGGUUCAGGGGCCACUAGACCCUCACCCCCUGACUUUAUAUCCCGAGGUUUUGAUGUGCCCAGGAGUGGUGGGGUGAGAAGGGCAGGAGUUUUGAAUGAAUUCUGGGCAUUAGAGAAGGCGGCCUCGAGGCUUAUCUGAUCAUCUUUCUCCAUCUGGAAAAUGGGGAUGUGGAGCUUCUAUCUCCCUGAGAAGUGAGGUUGAACUGAGGACCUGCCACUUGUAAGCUGAUUUUCCAGGCUUAACGGUAAAAGGGGAAAGAGGAGGUGGUAGCCCCGCUCCCAGCAUCAUGCAGAAACUGCCUUCAGGGCCAGCCACUUUCUGGUGGUGACAGUUCCGUGCACCAGGACACCAGGGGGCUGGGGAGAACACAGUCACUCUCAUCCUAAUCACAACUGUAUAAAAAGCCCAUGUCGACCGGCACGGUGGCUCACACCUGUAAUCCCAGCAUUUUGGGAAGCCAAGGUGGGCGGAUCACUUGAGGUCAGGAGUUGGAGACCAACCUGGCCAACAUGGUGAAACCCAGUAUCUACUAAAAAUACAAAAAUUAGCUGGGUGUAGUGGCGCACGCCUGUAAUCCUAGCUAGUUGGGAGGCUGAGGCAGGAGAAUCGCUUGCACCUAGGAAGCGGAGGUUGCAGUGAGCUGAGAUCACACCCCUGCACUCCAACCUGGGCGACAGAGUGAGACUCCAUCUCAAAAAAAACAAAACAACAACAACAAAAAAAAAAAACAAAAAAAAACAAAAAACCAACCCCCUCCCCCACAAAAAGCCCAUGUCACUGUUUCUGUGCCUCAACCCUCUAAGAGUGGCAGGAUACCCAUUUUACAGAGCAGGAGAGGGAGGCACAGAACAGCUAAGCGACCAAGUGCCAAGGGCUUCCAAGAGAUGGCAGUUAGGGACACCUGAGUCCCCAGACUCUGAAGGGGCCUGCCCAGGCAGACAGCAUCGCAGGAAGGGCGGGUCCUCACGGACAGAGAGACAGAAGCCACCUCAGGCCCCCCUGGACAGCUCUAGGACCUGGGUCCAGACCCCACCCCCAUCCUGAAAUAGCCCUCCCAAAAAGCAGAGACAGACACCAGGCGUGCUUUAGGGCUUUUUUUUUAAUGUUUCCUCACUGUUUUGACAAUAUCAUGAAAAAAAUCAGUUUAGAAUCUGGAAUUGGCCUGGACGGGAUUCGAGGGCAGCUGGCGGGGGCUGCAUAGCCCCUGAGCUUCUGCUCAAUCCCCUCGGGGACAGUUACAGGACUCAGAG